AGUGAACGCUGGCGGUAGGCCUAACACAUGCAAGUCGAACGGCAGCACAGUAAGAGCUUGCUCUUACGGGUGGCGAGUGGCGGACGGGUGAGGAAUACAUCGGAAUCUACUUUUUUGUGGGGGAUAACGUAGGGAAACUUACGCUAAUACCGCAUACGACCUACGGGUGAAAGCAGGGGAUCUUCGGACCUUGCGCGAUUGAAUGAGCCGAUGUCGGAUUAGCUAGUUGGCGGGGUAAAGGCCCACCAAGGCGACGAUCCGUAGCUGGUCUGAGAGGAUGAUCAGCCACACUGGAACUGAGACAAGGUCCAGACGCCUACGGGAGGCAGCAGUGGGGAAUAUUGGACAAUGGGCGCAAGCCUGAUCCAGCCAUACCGCGUGGGUGAAGAAGGCCUUCGGGUUGUAAAGCCCUUUUGUUGGGAAAGAAAAGCAGCAGGUUAAUACCCCGCUGUUCUGACGGUACCCAAAGAAUAAGCACCGGCUAACUUCGUG
rnacentral:rRNA from 1 species